rnacentral:rRNA from 1 species
CACCAGCGCCACGAGUGGCGUUCACGAUUAUUGGGCCUAAAGCGUCCGUAGUCGGCUGUGUGCAUCCUCUGUGAAAUCGUAGCGCUUAACGUUACGGCAUGCGGGGGACACGGCACAGCUUGAGACCGGGAGGCGUGAAGGGUAUUCUUAGGGGACCGGUAAAAUGGUAUAAUCCUAAGAGGACCAGCCUGUGGCGAAGGCGCUUCACGAGAACGGAUCUGACGAUGAGGGACGAAAGCCAGGGGAGCAAACCGG